rnacentral:ncRNA from 2 species
UAACCAUAAAGAGAAGGCGAGAGACAAGCUCGAUGAACCUUCAGCAACCUGCCGUAGGGUAAGGUGCUAAAGCUUGAACGAUGGGAC